UGUCAACGAGCUUCGCACAGUCGAGUGACCUCACUGCAGACCGAAUUAGACAACGGGAGAGACAGUACAGAAGGACUUUGUGCUACUUUCGCAGUCACUGCAACAAGAGUUGGAGAGGAUUCGCAGUGCAGACACCCAAGUAAGAUGGGAGCAUCUAGAAGAUGUUGACGAAUGUCAUGGAUGUCGUUCUCCUUUUAACCACCAAUAGGCAGAAGAACCAUUGCCGGCACUGUAUCCGGGUGUUCUGUGUGAACUGCCUGUCCCACACGGUGGCCAGUGGGCCCAACCACCGGCCCAGCAAGGUGUGCGAUGUCUGCCACACACUGUUGGACCGCGACACUGCACCCUACUUCAGCACAGAUCCCCCCCACUCCAACGACUAGACUAACACAACGCGGACCAUCUGUCCAUACAACACGACGACAUGUCAGCCUACCGCUAAUGGAUUACUUUAUGCAUGUUGAACCUGUAUCAAAUAAAUUUAGCUUUAUCAGUUACCUCUAGUUCACUGCCUGUACUUGUACAACUUUCACUCGAGAGGGAAAUUUUUUUAAUGCUGACAGUCCACUACAUGAACUAAGAUGGUCUCUUUUUGUGCAUAUUUUGUUGUUUAGGCUUAUACCACAUUGUUCGAAUCAAAGUGUGAGGAAAAUAUAAAAUUUUGGUUGAAAAAAUAUUAUGCGUAACUCUUCCAAAAUUUGACAUGAAUGUAAACACUUUUAGUUAUUUGCAAGGCAAUUGAAUUUGCAUAUUGAUCAAUAAAUUAAUAAAAACAUGCAAUAAGUUUGGCAAAGUACUACUAAACAUAUUUAUUAAUCAGAUUUUUCCAUACCUAAAUAUAAACAAAAGUUACAAUUAGAAAAAUUAUGUUAAACCUAUGUUUUAAGUGUUGUAUGAAAAAUAGUGAUCAUUCAAGCUUUUUAAAAUUAUUCUGGCUGUUUAACUUAUUACAAUACAAAAUUAAGGGUGAAAAUAGUAAACCCUUAAAUCAAGUAAAUUCAUAAAAUACUCCUAGACAAAAUUAAACCGGCACUCUAAAUGUUUAAUUAAACCUUUUCAAAAAUACUAAUUUAAAAUAACACACAGUACAAAAAUAAACUUCAAACAAAACAUUUAAAAUACUUAUUUAUUUUAUUUAAAAUAUAUGUGCAAAUUAUUAAAUUGUUAGCAAAUUUAAAUUUAAAAAAAGCUAUAAAUUAUGAAUAGUGACUGAAAGUUUUGUCACAGCUUUAAUUUUGUCUUGGAAUAUACUUGGGAGUAAUGUAAUCAUGGUAAAUAUAAGGUGAGUUUUCAAUCUCAUCAAUAAAUAACGAAACCUUUAACUGUGGGUGAGAUGUAGUGUAUUAAAUUAAUAUAAGGACAUUUUUGCUGUUAUGUAAACCCUUUCUCCUCAAUCAUCAUUCUUUUUGCCUCUCUCCACUGACAAGAUGAUAAAGUGAUGAAUUUUGAUGAUCGAAGGGUAUAUUGUUGAGAGAAAUUUGUCAUGUAGUUACGAGCUGAUUGUAGUUCAGUUUUUAAAAUACUAUCAAAGAAAAAUAAUUUAUUAUUGCUUGCAAAGGUGUACAGUAUGUAAACCAUAUUAAUGCAGUGACUAAUCUUGUUAUUUCUUUGUGAUAUAACAGUGUUUAAGUAUAAUUGUUUUGUUUACGUUUAGGUGGUUUUUGGAAGAAAUAAGCUCUUUAAUAAGUAAAUAAAUCAAACAAACUUAUAUUACUACUUUAGAUUGUUAACCCUUCGACUGCUGGGUAUUUUUCUCUGUAAGAGUGUCAGCUAGGUGCCAGAUGUACCAGCUCACCUGUGAUUGUAACGUCUUUGAUCUUAUUCUGAGCCUAUUGUUCCAAGUGAAACAUGUUCACGUAUUGGGUGUUCGCAUUUAAAAGAUUUCUGCCCUUUCUCCCGUGGCAGAGAUCUUUUUGCAGCAGGAGAAUGUUCAGGGAGCUAGCACACAUGUAGUAGAACAGCUGACAGAACACUGAUGAUCAACUCCGUGCAGAGUGAGAGUUCAAUGGAAGCCUGUGAGCUCUUCCAAGAAACUCCAGUCUUUGAAGGAUGCAGUACGGCUCUGCGUGUCUGAGGAAAGGCCGGAGAUGCCCUCUUGCUCCAAGAUCACAGGCACUGGCUUCUGCUGAGUAAACUCUGCUCGCUCUAAGUGGCAGUGUUCUCCUCCUUUAAAGUCUUCUCUACACUGUAUUGCUUAAGGUUGUGCAGCAAUCUGGGUGUGUUGGACAGCCACAGUACUGUAACUCUAUGUAAUCUACACUUCUAGACCAACUUCUUCAUUGAAUUUAUAAAUUCUGUCAGUAGAUAACCUUCUUUUUGUCGUUAAUGAAAUCAGUGCAAUAUACACCCAUGAAGACAAUGUAAGCAGGUAGACCUGGCAACAGUUUUAUAGGUAGUUGGGACUUUAAACAAUAAAUUAGAUGUUGACGAUGACGUUCUCAUCACUCUGUUUGAACUAAAAAAUUCCAUUGAACUUGCGUUCCUUCUUGUGUGCGUACAAUUGGCUGUUUGGAAGGUACUUCUUGCUAGUCUCCAUCUCAGCAGCUCCAUUGCAGCUUGAAAUUGUCUCAGGCCUUGUGUUUCCCAGGCAAGUCAUCAUGCUCCUCAAGUCUGCAGUGGAGGCUAUGUUGCUCCUUUUCAAUGAACUUGAGCUUGUGCUGCAGUUUCUGUACCAGUCCCACAUCAACUGAUGAGCAUCUGUAGGGAUCGACUCUGAUGUCAUCUGCACACUCCAGUCACUGUUGCGACUAGUAUUACGACUACUAGCUGACCUUACACAUAAAGUCUUCUUCCGGCAUUUCAUUGAUGAGUGGAAGAGUUGAAGUUGGAGGAGACCGAAAAAGUACAGCUGCCACCCUCCGUACGUGUCAGUUCACGUUCCAACAUUUCACAAAGCGCCUCCAGGUCAGUCUUCUCACAUAACACCUUCUGGUAGUUGUUCAAGUCCAGCUUAUGCUCUUGGCCUCAGGAAUGCAGGAUUGAUGGACAACUCUGCAAUAAAUAAUUACAAUCAGAUCAUUACUUUGAUUUGCAGUCCGGGUUUAAUUGUUAUUUGAUGCCCUUGGUCUUUCAUGUUUAUGUAAUUUUUCAGCUGCUUUCAAUGGAUCAAAAUUAUAAUUUUUCUUAUAUGAUGUGAUGUGUAUAAAAACUAGAGCUAAAGAACGUUACAUCUCCCUCCCAAUGUGGGACAUAAUAUUGCCUGCCUUAAUCGAUUGCCUAAUAUUCAUAAAAAGUAUAUUAGACACUUGUCUUGCCUAAAGUCAUAGUGCAAGCUGGUGGGAGUGCUGGAUACUCUGCAGCAAAACUUAAAUUUUCAUACAAAUUAGGAAAAAGAAAUUUGAAACAAAAAAUUUGUUGCCUUAAAAAAUACAAAAUCGGAAAAUUCCAAAACCCCUAAACUUCAUUAAAUAUUUUUAUUUAAAAAAUUCAAAUCUAUCAUAUAAACAAUUUUCUCCUCAAAGACCAAGUUUGUAAUAAGUGAAUACUGUGAUAAAAGUACUUCUUUUAUGCUUAACUUAUAGAGGUGGGGGGAGGGAGGGAAUAAUAGAUAGUGGAUGAUUAUACCUCUCUGCCAAAGAGCUGUCACCUCUUUAGAAAUUUGAAGCUGUCUAAAGGAAUCUUAAUUACAUCAUUGCAACUGUAAAUAACGUUUCUUUUAGUAGACGUAUUGGAAGAUUGGUUUGUUUCUUCCAAUUGUGACAGUCUACAUUGAUUUGUGGUGCAUCUGGAGUGACUAAAACAAAAUAGAAAUAUUUUUAGAGCAGUUAAUACAACCUGAAAUAACAAUUAUAGUGUCUGACAUUGUUUUUGGCCUUGCAAUUCUGCAGAUCUUAAGUAGGUUUGUUUACUCAAGUUAUUGCCUGAAAUCCUUUCAACUCCCUUAGACGACGACACCUACAUAAAGCAUCAUUCAUGGGUGUAACUAAGACCUAGCUUUCGGUGGGAGAGGGGGGUGAUUAGCUUGAAGAAAGAGCAUAGUUUAAAAUUUUUUGUAACUAGGAGGUCUGAAGGGGUAGAACUCCCUCCCUUCCCUUAGUAAUUUCAUCCAAGUGUUGGUGCUGAAAGUAUAGAUAUGUGGAUAUGUCAAUAAAGACAGUGACUUAUUAUUUGCUGCUUGAUUACAUUAAGUUAACUUACGAUUGUAGUUAACCCAAGCCUUGUAUAGUUAACCCAAAAACAUGGUUGAAGCAAUGGGAGCCAUUAGCAAUGUCAUACAAGUAAUUAAUUGCUAAAUAAAAUUAUGUUCCAGUAAACUUACCAUUCGUAACCCAUUUUUAUUGUCUGUUUAGUUUAGAAUAGAAACAAGUUACACAAUUUGAUACCUGUGAAAAUUAAUAAACAAUGUACAAUAUCUACAAUUUAACUUCCUUCCAUAUUUUUUUCGAAGUUUUCCACAAAACCAGUUUGUCACAAAGCAAACUGUCUUCUUAAAAAUAGUCAAUCUAUUUUUUAGUGUUUUGUGUUGACGGUUGUUCUGCCUCCAGAAAAUCAGGAGUUGACUACAGAGUACUUCCAUGUCACCAUUUCAAUUUAGAUGUCUACAGACUUUUUUUAAAUACAGUCUGUGAACUUGUUAUUAUCUAGACUGUGGUGAGAUGUUUUCAUGUAGUAACAAACAAUAACAUUUGCACCGUUAGUUUGUUGCAAAAUUUAAUUCUUAUGUUAUAAAUAUGUAUAUUGUUUUAAAUUAAUUAAGUGAACAAAGAAAUCUAUCUAUUAAAAAUUGAAUAUUGGUCAGACAUUUGUUGCUGUUUUAUUAGUAAUGAAAAGUGAUUUGUAAGUUCAACAUUUCUAUAAUAGUAAGUGAUUUUACGCUUUUGUUUUAGUACCAAUAAAAUAAUAAAGACCUAACGAUGAUAUGAUUGAUGUUGAAAUUGUCAAUGAGGUAAUUUAAAUUUUUACAAAAUAUUAUGCUUUUAAUAAAACAUUUACUAUUAUUUAUUCUAUUUUUAUAUGUAUUGUGCACAUAUUUUAUAAUUAUAUAUAGUUUAUGACUCAUUAGGUUUAUCGUAUUUCAUUUAAUUAUUGUCAUAAACUCUUAUCACUAUUUGUAUAUUUUUUGUGAAGUGAUGAUGCCUUUCUAUGAAAAGGCCUCAUAAAAUAAAAAGUAUGUAUUGUUU